CAGCGCCGGCCGGACAGCUCGUGCACCAGGCUCAGCGGCAUGACCAGUGCGGCAACCAGCACGUCAGAGACGGCCAGGGACGCCACCAGGUUGUGCGGCACGCGAUGGAAGGUGCGCACACGGGCGAUGGUCGCCAGCACCAGCAGGUUCCAGGCGAACGUCGCCGCCACCAGGCAGCCCAGGAAGUGAACAUCACUACACAAUAGACAUUUACGUUUGAUACACUAUGAACAAAUUUCACCAAGACUUUAUUCAUUUUCACCUGUGCUGUGCUAAUCAGCCCCAAAUUAAACAGCUCCAUCAAGACUCAGCAGCUGGCGUCGGGCCCCAGUGCGCAUCGCAAACUGGAAAACGAUUAUUUGGGGAGGCCUCGUAAUUAUAGGAGAUGAGAACGCUGGCAGCCAAGAGAUACGUACUUUCCAAGAUUUGCGAGAAAAUUUAAUGAAAGUGCCACAAAUAUAUUACUUAGGAUGAUUGUUUGCACUUCAUAUGAGGCGCUGUUCUCUCUGGAUUUCAAAGUCUGGACUAAUUAAUUAGCCCGAAUUCCCCUGCUCCCCUCGUGGUCAAGCAUCCAGACAGGCCUCCGGGGGUCUGAGCUAUCGCAGUCGGUAGCAGCGGCGACCCGGGGCGCUCGACGCCUGGCGGGCGUUAGUCUCGGUUCUUCCACGUGGGAGCCGGAGGCCCCCGGUCCGCAAACCGGGUCGGCCGCCACCUGUUUGUGUAAAUACGGACCUACCGGUCCGUACACAGGCAACGACGGCUGUUCUCACGCUGCAACAAGCCCUGCGCAAGUCAAGACAGACUUUCACCCACCGCAACGCCUGGAAUACUUUCUCUCCGGCCCUUUACCGAAAGCGUUUGCUGGGCCCUGACCGGACUUCUCCGAACCUGUUUCCCCACUUGUGAAAUGAAACGGAACAGCUACCCCAUUGGCAGCCUUGCUGGUGCGCGUGCCCACCCCGCUCCCAGCGUCUCCCUCUGGGCAGGAGCCUGCCGCCACGUUCGCUCCGGGCCCGGGAUGAGCUCAGGCCGCCCCUGCCAUGGCAGUGGGGGUCCGGCCACCCCGCGAUGGUGGCCCCUUCGAAGAGGUCCUCCCUAGGCACCCAGCCCCACGGUGCCCCCCGACGCGGAGCCCAGCGCAU